CAGUAGCCACGGUAAUACGUAGGUGGCAAGCGUUAUCCGGAAUUAUUGGGCGUAAAGCGCGCGUAGGCGGUUUCUUAAGUCUGAUGUGAAAGCCCACGGCUCAACCGUGGAGGGUCAUUGGAAACUGGGAAACUUGAGUGCAGAAGAGGAAAGUGGAAUUCCAUGUGUAGCGGUGAAAUGCGCAGAGAUAUGGAGGAACACCAGUGGCGAAGGCGACUUUCUGGUCUGUAACUGACGCUGAUGUGCGAAAGCGUGGGGAUCAAACAGGAUUAGAUACCCCUGUAGUCCCUGUCUCUUAUAC
rnacentral:rRNA from 1 species